GGUUAAGUGACUAAGCGUACACGGUGGAUGCCUUGGCAGUCAGAGGCGAUGAAGGACGUACUAACCUGCGAAAAGCUGUGGGAAGCCGGUAAGAGGCGUUAGACCCGCAGAUAUCCGAAUGGGGAAACCCAACGCAUUUAUGCGUUAUCGCUACAUGAAUACAUAGUGUAGCGAGGCAAACCGGGAGAACUGAAACAUCUAAGUACCCCGAGGAAAAGAAAUCAACCGAGAUUCCGUUAGUAGCGGCGAGCGAACGCGGAGUAGCCCUUAAGCUGUAUUGGUGUUAGUGGAAUACUCUGGAAAGAGUAGCGAUACAGGGUGAUAGCCCCGUACACGACAAUGCCUUUACAGUGAAAACGAGUAGGACGGGACACGUGGUAUCCUGUUUGAACAUGGGGGGACCAUCCUCCAAGGCUAAAUACUCCUGACUGACCGAUAGUGAACCAGUACCGUGAGGGAAAGGCGAAAAGAACCCCUGUAAGGGGAGUGAAAUAGAACCUGAAACCGUGUACGUACAAGCAGUGGGAGCCCACUUGUUGGGUGACUGCGUACCUUUUGUAUAAUGGGUCAGCGACUUACAUUCUGUAGCGAGGUUAACCGAAUAGGGGAGCCGUAGGGAAACCGAGUCUUAACUGGGCGAACAGUUGCAGGGUGUAGACCCGAAACCGGGCGAUCUAUCCAUGAGCAGGUUGAAGGUUGGGUAACACUAACUGGAGGACCGAACCCACUAAUGUUGAAAAAUUAGGGGAUGACUUGUGGAUCGGAGUGAAAGGCUAAUCAAGCUCGGAGAUAUCUGGUUCUCCUCGAAAGCUAUUUAGGUAGCGCCUCGGACGAAUACCACUGGGGGUAGAGCACUGUUUGGGCUAGGGGGUCAUCCCGACUUACCAACCCCAUGCAAACUCCGAAUACCAGUGAGUAAUAUCCGGGAGACACACGGCGGGUGCUAACGUCCGUCGUGAAAAGGGAAACAACCCAGACCGCCAGCUAAGGUCCCAAAGUAAUGAUUAAGUGGAAAACGAUGUGGGAAGGCAUAGACAGCUAGGAGGUUGGCUUAGAAGCAGCCACCCUUUAAAGAAAGCGUAAUAGCUCACUAGUCGAGUCGGCCUGCGCGGAAGAUGUAACGGGGCUAAAUCAUUCACCGAAGCUGCGGACUUGUGUGUAUCACCAGAGACUAUUUGAUUAACGUUGACGUGCGAAGCACCCAACGGAAAAGCGUCCAACAACAGUCGAUGUUGAUGGAUAAAGUAGUUUGUGGGAUACACACAAGUGGUAGAGGAGCGUUCUGUAAGCCGUUGAAGGUAGACCGGGAGGUUUGCUGGAGGUAUCAGAAGUGCGAAUGCUGACAUGAGUAACGAUAAGGGGAGUGAAAAACUUCCCCGCCGAAAGACCAAGGGUUCCUAUCCCAUGCUAAUCAGGGUAGGGUGAGUCGGCUCCUAAGGCGAGGCUGAAAAGCGUAGUCGAUGGGAAACAGGUUAAUAUUCCUGUACCGGCCAAUACUGCGAUGGGGGGACGGAGAAAGCUAGGCAGGCGCGGCGUUGGUAGUCCGCGUGAAAGUAAGUAGGCUGAUAGACUAGGAAAAUCCGGUUUAUUAAGGCUGAGAUACGAGACGAGUGUCUAAGGACACGAAGCUGUUGACGCUAUGCUUCCAGGAAAAGCCUCUAAGCUUCAGGUAUUGGCGACCGUACCCUAAACCGACACAGGUGGUCAGGUAGAGCAUACCAAGGCGCUUGAGAGAACUCGGCUGAAGGAACUAGGCAAAAUAGUACCGUAACUUCGGGAGAAGGUACGCUCUUUGUUGUGAAGGACUUGCUCCGUAAGCAGCAGAGAGUCGCAGUGACCAGCUGGCUGCAACUGUUUAUUAAAAACACAGCACUGUGCAAACUCGUAAGAGGACGUAUACGGUGUGACACCUGCCCGGUGCCGGAAGGUUAAUUGAUGGGGUUAGCGCAAGCGAAGCUCUUGAUCGAAGCCCCGGUAAACGGCGGCCGUAACUAUAACGGUCCUAAGGUAGCGAAAUUCCUUGUCGGGUAAGUUCCGACCUGCACGAAUGGUGUAAUGAUGGCCAGGCUGUCUCCAGCCGAGACUCAGUGAAAUUGAAAUUGCGGUGAAGAUGCCGUAUACCCGCGGCUAGACGGAAAGACCCCGUGAACCUUUACUAUAGCUUGGCACUGAACAUUGACCCUACAUGUGUAGGAUAGGUGGGAGACUAUGAAGUUGGAACGCUAGUUCUGAUGGAGUCAACCUUGAAAUACCACCCUUGUAUGUUUGAUGUUCUAACGUAGGCCCCUGAAUCGGGGUUGCGGACAGUGUCUGGUGGGUAGUUUGACUGGGGCGGUCUCCUCCUAAAGAGUAACGGAGGAGCACGAAGGUUGGCUAAGUACGGUCGGACAUCGUACGGUUAGUGUAAUGGUAGAAGCCAGCUUAACUGCGAGACAGACACGUCGAGCAGGUACGAAAGUAGGUCAUAGUGAUCCGGUGGUUCUGUAUGGAAGGGCCAUCGCUCAACGGAUAAAAGGUACUCCGGGGAUAACAGGCUGAUACCGCCCAAGAGUUCAUAUCGACGGCGGUGUUUGGCACCUCGAUGUCGGCUCAUCACAUCCUGGGGCUGAAGUCGGUCCCAAGGGUAUGGCUGUUCGCCAUUUAAAGUGGUACGCGAGCUGGGUUUAGAACGUCGUGAGACAGUUCGGUCCCUAUCUGCCGUGGGCGUU
rnacentral:rRNA from 1 species